CCGAGUCUGUACUGGCUAGCGAUCCCCGCACAUUAACUCUAUCCUACACACAUAGACAUGAAACAUAAAGUUUAUUUUUUUGAACGUUUAUAAAAGAUGCAGACCCCAUCGCUAAUUGUGACAAUGGAGGAGGCCCAGGUCGGGAAGGUCAGCAUGGGGAAGGGGAGUGGUUAGCGACCGGGAGACCCAGCAGGUCUUGCCGGACCGAGCACAAGUGAAGGGUGAAAUG